GACGAACGCUGGCGGCGUGCUUAACACAUGCAAGUCGAACGGAAAGGCCCUGCUUUUGUGGGGUGCUCGAUUGGCGAACGGGUGAGUAACACGUGAGUAACCUGCCCUUGACUUUGGGAUAACUUCAGGAAACUGGGGCUAAUACCGGAUAGGAUCUCCUGCUGCAUGGUGGGGGUGGGAAAGUUUCGGCGUGUGGGGAUGGACUCGCGGCUUAUCAGCUUGUUGGUGGGGUAGUGACUUACCAAGGCGUUGACGGGUAGCUGGGCUGAGAGGGUGACCGGCCAAAUCGGGACUGGGAUACGGCACAGACUACUACGGGAGGCAGCAGUGGGGAAGAUUGCACAAUGGGAGGAAGCCUGAUGCAGCAACGCCGCGUGCGGGAUGACGGCCUUCGGGUUGUAAACCGCUUUCGCCUGUGACGAAGAGAGAGUGACGGUAAUGGGUAAAGAAGCACCGGCUAACUACGUG
rnacentral:rRNA from 1 species